GAGGGUACAGCUCAUUGGUAGAGUAUGUGCUUAGCAUGUAUGAAGUCCUGGGUUCAAUCCCUGGUAUCUUCG
rnacentral:tRNA from 1 species